GCCGUUGAAGCUGCGGUGUAAACCAGUGGUGGAGGCUAUGCGAGUGAGAAUGCAGGCAUGAGUAGCGAAAGAUGAGUGAGAAACUCAUCCGCCGGAUGAUCAAGGGUUCCAGGGUCAAGUUAAUCUGCCCUGGGUUAGUCGGGGCCUAAGGCGAGGCCGACAGGCGUAGUCGAUGGAUAACGGGUUGAUAUUCCCGUACCGGUGAAAAACCGCCCAUACUGAUAUUGUGAUGCUAACCAUGCGAAGCAUGAUGUGCAGGCUUUUGUUUGUGUGUUGUGUGGGUUGUGGGACCCGAUCUUUGGAGGUAAACGUAUUAACAGGUGUGACGCAGGAAGGUAGCCAAGCCACGCGAUGGUUGUCGUGGUCUAAGCGUGUAGGGUUGUCGGUUGUUAAAUGCGCCGGCUGUGUGCCUGAGACGUGAUGGGACCCCGUUUUUGGGGGAUUUGGUGAUCCUAUGCUGCCGAGAAAAGCAUCGGCGUGAGGUUUUAGCCGCCCGUACCCUAAACCGACACAGGUGAUCAGGUAGAGAAUACUAAGGCGAUCGAGAGAAUCAUGGUUAAGGAACUCGGCAAAAUGCCCCCGUAACUUCGGGAGAAGGGGGACCUUGAGCGUGAUGGGCACUUGCUGCCUGGAGCGUGUAUGGGUCGCAGAGACCAGGGGGAAGCGACUGUUUAUCAAAAACACAGGUCCGUGCGAAGUCGUAAGACGAUGUAUACGGACUGACUCCUGCCCGGUGCUGGAAGGUUAAGAGGAUUGGUUAGCUCUUUUGGGCGAAGCUGAGAAUUUAAGCCCCAGUAAACGGCGGUGGUAACUAUAACCAUCCUAAGGUAGCGAAAUUCCUUGUCGGGUAAGUUCCGACCUGCACGAAUGGAGUAACGACUUCCCUACUGUCUCAACCAUGAACUCGGCGAAAUUGCAGUACGAGUAAAGAUGCUCGUUUCGCGCAGCAGGACGGAAAGACCCCGUGACCUUUACUAUAGUUUGGUAUUGGUGUUUGGUUUGGCUUGUGUAGGAUAGGUGGGAGACUGUGAAGCAUGGACGCUAGUUUGUGUGGAGUCGUUGUUGAAAUACCACUCUGGUCAAUCUGGAUGUCUAACUUCGGGCCAUGAUCUGGUUCAGGGACAGUGCCUGAUGGGUAGUUUAACUGGGGCGGUUGCCUCCUAAAGUGUAACGGAGGCGCCCAAAGGUUCCCUCAGCCUGGUUGGCAAUCAGGUGUUGAGUGUAAGUGCACAAGGGAGCUUGACUGUGAGACUGGCAGGUCGAGCAGGGACGAAAGUCGGGACUAGUGAUCCGGCGGUACGUUGUGGAACGGCCGUCGCUCAACGGAUAAAAGGUACCUCGGGGAUAACAGGCUGAUCUUGCCCAAGAGUCCAUAUCGACGGCAUGGUUUGGCACCUCGAUGUCGGCUCGUCGCAUCCUGGGGCUGGAGUCGGUCCCAAGGGUUGGGCUGUUCGCCCAUUAAAGCGGUACGCGAGCUGGGUUCAGAACGUCGUGAGACAGUUCGGUCCCUAUCCGCUGCGCGCGUUGGAAAUUUGAGAAAGGCUGUCCUUAGUACGAGAGGACCGGGACGGACGAACCUCUGGUAUGUCAGUUGUACCGCCAGGUGCAUGGCUGAUUGGCUACGUUCGGGAGGGAUAACCGCUGAAAGCAUCUAAGCGGGAAGCCUGUUUCGAGAUGAGAUUUCCUGGCACUUUGGUGUGUGAGGCUCCUUAUAGAUGAUGAGGUUGAUAGGCCGGGUAUGGAAGCGGGGACUGAAGACUCGUGGAGUUGACUGGUACUAAUAGGCCGAAGGCUUACUUUU
rnacentral:rRNA from 1 species